UACGGAGGAUCCAAGCGUUAUCCGGAUUUAUUGGGUUUAAAGGGUGCGUAGGCGGUCUAUUAAGUCAGCGGUGAAAUACUCCAGCUUAACUGGAGGGGUGCCAUUGAUACUGAUGGACUUGAGUCAAGUCGAGGUAGGCGGAAUUGACGGUGUAGCGGUGAAAUGCUUAGAUAUCGUCAAGAACACCAAUAGUGAAGACAGCUUACUGGGCUUAAACUGACGCUGAGGCACGAAAGUGUGGGGAUCAAACAGG
rnacentral:rRNA from 1 species